GGGAAUCUGCCCUUAGGUACGGAAUAACUCAGAGAAAUUUGAGCUAAUACCGUAUGAUGACGUAAGUCCAAAGAUUUAUCGCCUAAGGAUGAGCCCGCGUAGGAUUAGCUAGUUGGUGGGGUAAAGGCCUACCAAGGCGACGAUCCUUAGCUGGUCUGAGAGGAUGAUCAGCCACACUGGGACUGAGACACGGCCCAGACUCCUACGGGAGGCAGCAGUGGGGAAUAUUGGACAAUGGGCGAAAGCCUGAUCCAGCAAUGCCGCGUGAGUGAUGAAGGCCUUAGGGUUGUAAAGCUCUUUUACCCGGGAAGAUAAUGACUGUACCGGGAGAAUAAGCCCCGGCUAACUCCGUGCCAGCAGCCGCGGUAAUACGGAGGGGGCUAGCGUUGUUCGGAAUUACUGGGCGUAAAGCGCACGUAGGCGGCUUUGUAAGUCAGGGGUGAAAGCCCGGAGCUCAACUCCGGAAUUGCCUUUGAGACUGCAUCGCUUGAAUCACGGAGAGGUGGGUGGAAUUCCGAGU
rnacentral:rRNA from 1 species